GAAUCAUGGAUCCCGUUGAUUCGGGAUGCAUGCGACUCUACAGCGAAGGGAUUGGCGAUGCCGUACCGACGCUAAAGACUCAAGUCAAAUCCAAGCCAUGGUGUAUGGAAAAAUAACUACAGUGUUACAGCAGAAACUCCUUUACUCAGAGGCCAAGAGGCAGUAUGCUGAAGCGAGAACCGGCAGUGGAAUUCUGCAAGUUGAAGUCCACACAUCUCAAAGUUGUCAAGUCAGAAAAACACUGAUCUCAGUGAUGCCCUCCAGCCUCUACAACUCAGUGACCCACACAGUUUAAACCAUGCAUGGCAUCUCCACUGAGAACUCCCUGGAGGCGUACACGGGGGCAUGCGUGGCAUCGAUGGCCCAAUAGAGCAAGAAUGGCUGAUGGCUGGCUUGCUGGCUGCUUAUGA